UAUAAGCUAAAUAUAACUACCAUAGCUAGGUGGUUAGAGAGGAGACAUACCAUACAGCUAAAUAUAACUACCAUAGCUAGGUGGUUAGAGAGGAGACAUACCAUACAGCUAAAUAUAACUACCAUAGCUAGGUGGUAGGUGGUUAGAGAGGAGACAUACCAUACAGCUAAAUAUAACUACCAUAGCUAGGUGGUAGGUGUUUAGAGAGGAGACAUACCAUACAGCUAAAUAUAACUACCAUAGCUAGGUGGUUAGAGAGGAGUCAUACCAUACAGCUAAAUAUAACUACCAUAGCUAGGUGGUUAGAGAGGAGACAUACCAUACAGCUAAAU